UCUGCUUUGAUCUUACCACCUGACUAAAGACUUUAGUACCAAGACUAUUUAUUAUAACAUUGUUUAAUAAAAAUGACCAAAAGGGUCAUUGAAUGAACUUCACUGCUACUUAGAAAGGUUGAAAUGUAGUGUUUCCUUAUAAAACACUUUGAAACCAUUUAUCAUACUACAGUAUUAAGUACUAAAACAAACUUGAAGCGUAAAACUUUCCGGUAGAAUUAUGGAGUUUUUCUUUAUUUCGUUCUUUGCAGGUUCUAGAGCACAAGUUAAAAGAAGCUGAUGAAAUGCACACAUUGUUACAGCUUGAGUGUGAAAAAUACAAAUCCGUCCUUGCAGAAACAGUAGGAAAUGAUUUUUAAUCUACAUUUUGAUUUUACUUUAAAUCAUUACCUUCUUCCUUCGUGGCCUAAAUAGUUUUAUCUUGGCAUUAGAACAUGAAUUUUUCAAAACAACUAUACUUUUGUCUGUAGGAAGGAAUUUUACAGAAGCUACAGAGGAGUGUUGAGCAAGAAGAAAAUAAAUGGAAAGUUAAGGUCGAUGAAUCACACAAGACUAUUAAACAGGUAUUUACAAAAGAAAAGCUUAGAGCAGUGGUUCUCAAUGUGUGGGGCUUGAACCAGCAGUAUCAGCAUCACCAUGCACAUUCUUGGGCCCCAACCCAGCUACCAAAUCCAAAACAUGUAUGUGGGGUGGCAGCAGUCUGUGUUUUCAUGAGCCCUCCAGAAUAGUCUAAUGCCCACCCAAGUUUGAAAAUCACCGGUUUUAAAGUAUGACUAAAGGGUAAUCAUAUAGAAUGUAGAGUGCUAGUUACAGAACUAUCGUGUGAUAAGGUAAAGAAUACUGGGUUCAAAAUCAGUUUUAAAGUAUUUAACCCAUAAUAUAGAAUUCAAGAAAAAGUUCUUCUAUUCGUGGGACCUGAAUGUUAUUGUGCAACCUUAAUUUUUCUCCCUUUUACUUCAGCGUGAUAAAGAGUACCAUUACUCACUUAUUUUUUGGGGCCAAUGUGCAGAAUUUACAGUUGCUGAUGGUACUCUAAUGCACUUGCAGAAUAAAUACAGCUGAAUAUCAGUUAAUACUAAUCAAAAAUUAAUCACUUUUAGCCGAGCCUGAUAGACAAAUGGAGUAGGUUUGGACCACAAUUUAAAUCAAGUUCAAUGUGACUCAUUUUUAAGGUCUUUUAAAAUUCAGUAAGACUUUAAAUGAGAUGCAUUUCCAAACCUUGGAAGUGUCUUUUAAUUGAUCAGAAUUCUACAGGAUAGAAACUGCUAUAUCCUUGGUGGUUUACUUGGCCAUAUAAUUGUUUCACAUUUCAGAUGCAGUCAUCAUUUACAUCUUCAGAACAAGAGCUAGAGCGAUUAAGAAGAGAAAAUAAGGAUAUUGAAAAUGUAUGUUAUUUGAUUGUUUUACUUGUAACCUAUGGAUUUGUUUUUAGCAUUAACGGUUGUCUGAAGAUCUAUAGUUUAAGAUUACUUUAUAGUUAUGCUCUUAAUAUCUUGGGUAGUGUUUGAGUUGAUAUAGUUUUAUAUUCAUAAGUGUCAUAAUUUUGCCUUGUGGGGAAAUAUUAUGAAAGGAAAUUUUAAGUGUGUUAACUUUUCCUUUGUUGCAUUGCUAGCUGAGAAGAGAACGAGAACAUUUGGAAAUGGAACUAGAAAAGGCAGAGAUGGAACGAUCUACCUAUGUUACAGAAGUCAGAGAGGUACUUAAAACAGAAUCUUUUCAAACUUGCUUCUCAAUUCAGAUUAAGUUUAUAACAGUGAUAUUUCAGUAUAAGUUGUUUGUGGCAGAGCUUCCGAGUAGCAUACAAAACAUGGGCUAUCAUAAGGAGAUCAAUCUUAAACUCUAAACUUCAUUGCAGCUGAAAGAUCUGUUGACUGAAUUGCAGAAAAAACUUGAUGAUUCAUAUUCUGAAGCAGUAAGACAGAAUGAAGAGCUAAAUUUGGUAAGAAGCUUGUCCUCCACUGGGUAUCAAGUAGGCACUGAAAACACUUUGUUGACAUGUGGAGAAACCAUCCAAGCUUUUUUUUCUUUGCUAACAUCUUUAGCUUGGCCUUUUUGUAAGUCUAAGAUAAUCUUCAUAUUCCGAUGAUUCCUAAGAUUAUCUUUCUUUUCUUGACUCCUAAAAUGAUCCGUCUUUUCUUAGCUCCUAACAAUGGCAUGUUUGGCUUCCAACUCUUUUUCAAAAUUUUCGAUGUUUUAUAAAUCCUAUUUUCUCAAACAGCAGUCUUUUCUGUGAAUAAAGAAAUGAAAGAUUGGCUGAGUUACGAAGAUUUUCUUCUCAGACUAUCAUAGCUAAUGGGGCCUUUUAUUUUCUAACCUGGGAGAAGAUUAUAUUGAAAGUCAAAGACACGUAUUCUUCAUUCAAGGGCAGUAAUCUAAUCCAGUUUCUAAUUUUAACCUAGUCUCUCUAUAUAUUACAAAUAUUAAAAAGCGUACAAGAGUCUUUAUUAUCAACAUACUAUUUAGAGCAUAGUAAUCCUAAAAGCAUAGACUUUGAGAUAAAGUUAGCUAAAUGUCUUAGAACAUAUGGUACCCUGUAUUCCUAUUCUCAAGUUUUCUAAAAACUGUACUGAUUGUGACAGAUUUAGCUAUUAGACAAAUAUGGCUGUCUUGCUCUCUGUUUCAAACAACAAUUUUUAGGUCUUCCUUGUGAGUUAAAAAUUGUUACAGCACAGGGAUUAGAUUUUUUUUUUUUUGAGUACCUUAAUAAACUCUCAGAAGAUUACAGUAAGUAAGUUUUUUCUUUACCCAAAGUUCACCCUGCCCAGUUUGGAAUUUUCUUGUUAGCAUUACUCCAUGUACCAAGAAAACUUUAACUCAUUCAUUUGUGGUUGGUAUCCUAUGUUAUGGCAAAAAUUUAUGGGAAUCAAUUUUUAGAGUAGAGCUGUGUGAAAUACAGGUUGCAUAUUCUUUAUCUGGAAUGCUUGGAACCAGCUAUUUUGGGGGGGAUUUUGGAUUAUUUGUAUUAUAUGCUUGCUCUGUAUGUGUCCCUUAUCUGAAAACCCGAAAUCUGAAAUGCUCCAGUGAACAUUUCCUUUGAGUGUCAUGUCAGUGCUUAAAAAGUUUAGGAUUUUGGAGCAUUUCAGAGUUCAGAUUUUCAGAUUAGGGAUGUUCAUACACACACAGCCCUACACACACAGAGCCCUACACCUCUAAUUUUUAAAUCUUUGUUUUAUUUACCAAUGUUUUACUUUAAUUGAACUCAUUCACACUGCAUUGUGAGACUAGUUCUAUGCUAUACAUUGCACAGAUUAGGACUGUGAUAUGUCAUGGCUAUAAGUCCUCACUCUGUGUUUUUAAAAAAUCAUUUCUAACUAGUUGUUAGAGUUUUACUUAUUAACUUUGGUGCUUAGUGGCUGACUCAACAGUUACAUGGUUACAUCUCCACUCAGCUUAAUGCUUUAUUUUGAUUUUUUGUCCCUCUACUUCUGUCAGGAGAUCAUUUUGAGUGGUUGAUACUUACUUUUUUUCCCUAGUCUUGAGUUUGGAAUCUUUAUUUUAAUGUUUGUUUGCUCAGAAUAACUGCUGCUACUUUUUAUGAUAAAAUAGCUUUGUUUGCCUGUGCGUUCUUUGUGUAUUCUUGGGCCAAAAGAUUCAUUUCUCUGAUGGAGAAUAUUAAAACUCAAAGUUGUGUAAAGGAGCAAAAUUUAUUUGGGUACUUACAUAGAAUUCCUCAGAUAAAAUUUCCAAGUGGAGUUUCCCUCCGCCCCACUGCCGCCCCUUUUUAAUUCUCCCUCCAAUUUUAAAUGUCACUGCCUUGUAUUUCCCGCUUUGGGCCUCUAGAACUGUUUCAAAAGUGCCCAUGGGUGGGAAGCAAAAACAAAUACCUUAUGAGAAUAAGAAGACAGUUUUUUGGGAGCAAUAUAGUUCAUUUUCCUUGCUCAUAUUUAAUUGGAAAAUCAGAGAAGUGGCAUUAUAUAUUCGCACUGGAGUUACAGAACUUUCUGUUUUGACAGAUUGGUUAUUCAUAGGUGUGUCGUAAGGCAUUUCUUGAUGGUAUAAUUUAGGCCAGUGUGGUCUUGUACUACCCCUUAGUGAAGCCUUAAACGAUGGUCAGUAUUUUGGGAGUUUUAAUUUGACUGGAUUUGUAGUCUUCUGUUCAAUGUUUUUAAAAAUAUUGUAUAAUUGACUCUUUAAUUGAACUGUAUAGAUUAAGAAAGCCUUUAAAAACUAAUGGAUAAAGUAUCUAUUUGGCUUUUAAUUUGGAAUAAUUUCAGUGACUGUUACAAAUAGUGAUACCUUUAAAAGGCACUUUACUGGAAUUUGAUGGUUUUGUUUUUGCAUUUGCAGUUUUCUACUCUAAACUGUAGUUCAUUUCUGUGGCUUUUCUUAUGUUUAGCUUUACAGAUGGGAACCUCUACUGCUUAGCCUUUCUAUACAUCUGGUGCAGCAUAUUGGCUAAUCCACUGUGCAUAAUAACUGUUAGCAAUCCCAUUCAUUCUUCAGUCCUAGAGGUAUCAGCAUAAUCAAAGAAUGAUGCAAAUUAAGUUAAUUGUGGUGUUCCUUUAUUUUUACAGUUGAAGGCACAGUUAAAUGAAACACUCACAAAACUUAGAACUGAACAAAAUGAAAGACAGAAGGUAGCUGGUGAUUUGCAUAAGGCUCAACAGUCACUGGAGCUUAUCCAGUCAAAAAUAGUAAAAGCUGCUGGAGACACUACUGUUAUUGAAAAUAGUGAUGUUUCCCCAGAAACGGAGUCUUCUGAGAAGGAGACAAUGUCUGUAAGUCUAAAUCAGACUGUAACACAGUUACAGCAGUUGCUUCAGGCAGUAAACCAACAGCUCACAAAAGAGAAAGAGCACUACCAGGUGUUAGAGUGAAGUAAUUGGGAAACUGUUCAUUUGAGGAUAAAAAAGGCAUUGUAUUAUAUUUUGCCAAAUUAAAGCCUUAUUUAUGUUUUCACCCUUUCUACUUUGUCAGAAACACUGAACAGAGUUUUGUCUUUUCUAAUCCUUGUUAGACUACUGAUUUAAAGAAAGAAAAAAAAAAGCCAACUCUGUAGACACCUUCAGAGUUUAGUUUUAUAAUAAAAACUGUUUGAAUAAUUAGACCUUUACAUUCCUGAAGAUAAACAUGUAAUCUUUUAUCUUAUUUUGCUCAAUAAAAUUGUUCAGAAGAUCAAAGUGGUAAAGACAAUGUAAAAUUUAACAUUUUAAUACUGAUGUUGAACACUGUUUUACUUAACAUUUUGGGAAGUAACUGCCUCUGACUUCAACUCAAGAAAACACUUUUUUGUUGCUAAUGUAAUCGGUUUUUGUAAUGGCGUCAGCAAAUAAAAGGAUGCUUAUUAUUCAAA
rnacentral:sRNA from 1 species